rnacentral:rRNA from 1 species
AGGGAAUUUUCCACAAUGGACGAAAGUCUGAUGGAGCAACGCCGCGUGAACGAUGAAGGUCUUCGGAUUGUAAAGUUCUGUUGUCAGGGACGAACAAGUACCGUUCGAACAGGGCGGUACCUUGACGGUACCUGACGAGAAAGCCACGGCUAACUACGUGCCAGCAGCCGCGGUAAUACGUAGGUGGCAAGCGUUGUCCGGAUUUAUUGGGCGUAAAGCGCGCGCAGGCGGCUAUGUAAGUCAGGUGUAAAAGCCCGGGGCUCAACCCCGGUUCGCAUCGGAAACUGCAGAGCUUGAGUGUAGAAGAGGAAAGCGGUAUUCCACGUGUAGCGGUGAAAUGCGUAGAGAUGUGGAGGAACACCAGUGGCGAAGGCGGCUUUCUGGUCUGUAACUGACGCUGAGGCGCGAAAGCGUGGGGAGCAAAC